UGGAGUCUGAGGUGGAGACCGUGAUAAAGAAGAUGAAAGCCCUGUCAACUUUGGAGGAGAAGCACACCCGUGAGCGCAUGAGGAAAUUAUCGAGGCAACUUGCUUAUCUUGUUGAUUUGGAGUCUAGCAAGCAGGAGGUAUUUCUUUUUUUAUUUUUAUUUGUUGCUUUUUGGUCACUACUGUUUUUCUUGUUUUAAAUCUUAGCUCAAAUGUGAAUAUUAUGCUUGCUGGGUUUCAAAACCAUGUGUGCCAUCUGCCUCACGAAUGUUGUUAUUUGUUCCAAUGUCAGUGUUACAAGGAUUAAUCAGUGUCUUCAUGUAAAUAUGGAACAUACAGUGUAUGUAAUUUGAGCAUGUGAACCUUUUGCCUAGACUACAUUUUGUCUUGUGGCCAAGUAAAGGUGUAAUGCAUAUUAGUUUUUUGUUUGUGUUGGAUUGCAGGGCCCCAGUGAGUUUGCCGUUGCUGCUGUGCCUUCUGGUGGUGGUUGUGCUGCGGCUGCAGCUGCUCCCCAGGAGAAGAAAGACGAGGAAUCUGAGGAUAGAUCUGACACUGAGGACGGAUACAUUGACCUGUUUGAAGGCUAAGACUAGACACAGUGGGAGUAACUUCAGCAGUAACUUCAAGUCCAACUCAGCAAAUUUGUCUAUGUGGCAAUGAGUUAAUGAAGAGAGAGGUAGAGCUAGUAACUUAGCUAGUUACUGUAACAUCACACAUAUCAAGGCAAAAUGAGUCUAUAGCAUAAUAAAUGAAGUGUUGCAUGUUACUACACAUAUGUUACUUCCCACUAUAGAGGUAGUAACAUAUAGUAGUAACAUGCUCAUGUUACUACUUUAUGUUACUACCCAUUGUGGCUAGUCUAAGUGAGUAUCUCAACGUAUGUUAAAGUCCUGUUUUUGGUCACUACUGGUUUUCUGAUUCGAAAUCUUUGGUCAGAUACCAAUUGCUGGUUUUCAAAACGUGUCAUGUUUGCCUGCCAUUUGCCUCCUGAUGUUACUUGUUCCAUUCUUGAUGUUAAAAUGAUUAGUCUGUGUCUUUUUGUAAAUAUAAACAUACAGUGUAUAUAUAGUUUUAAUGUGUGAACCUAUUGUUCUAUUUCAUACAUAUUAAAUGCCUAGGCUAAAUUUUGCCUUGUGGACAAGUAAUGGUGUAAUGCAUAUUAAUUUUGUGUUUAUCUUGUGGAUUGCAUGCAGGACCAAAGCAAGUUUGCCGGCACUGCCGCGCCGUCUGGUGGAAGGAGUGCAAUGGUGAAUCUGAUGAUGUGGAGGGAUUCAUGAACCUGUUUGGCGACUAAUAAGCUGCACCUUCUAUUUUCCAUUAAGUUGCCACUUCUGUCGUAGCGUAGAUAGAUGAGUGAGCUCUUUUAUCUUAGUAUACUAGUUGGCAUCUCAAGCCCUGGACUGUUGUUUGUACUUGCCAAUGCCAUCGUUCAUGUACUUGGUUGGUAGUAUUCCGGCUGCUUUCUCGUAUGUCAGAUGCUCAUGAUCUGAUUCCCUUUAAACUAGAACAGCAACUUAUUUCCAGUUCAAAGCAAUAUAGGUUGUUGUUUGCAUGCUUAUGCUAGCUGCUUAUUUGAUGUGAGUUGUUGCAAAAAAUGGUGAACCAUGUCAUCCUAGUUUAUGAAAUAUUCUUUAUCUUUGAGGCAUGCAUGUUUAUUUAUAGCUGUUUUAACCUUGUAAUUGUUUUGCAUGUCUCAUGCCAACGUAACACAGCAGUAUAAAUCUUUUUCCAUAUUUUGUGCUCUUUGCUUAGAAAGGAUGGAAUUAUUCUUUUCUAGGGGAACAUGGAAUUUUUGUGUAGUGAAUCUGCUGCUGUUAUUCUUUUGAGCUGCAAAAGUAGAAAGCAAAUGGUUCAAAAUUCCAUCUGUUGGUUAGGUAACCAAACUAGCAAAUUACCACUGAUAAAACUAGCAAC
rnacentral:lncRNA from 1 species